rnacentral:rRNA from 1 species
UACAGAGGUCUCAAGCGUUGUUCGGAUUCAUUGGGCGUAAAGGGUGCGCAGGUGGCGGCGCGCGUGGGGGGUGAAAUCGCCCGGCUUAACUGGGCGGGGGCCUUCCAGACGGCGUGGCUUGAGCAGCGGAGGGGGACGUGGAAUUCCGGGUGGAGCGGUGAAAUGCGUAGGGAUCCGGAGGAACACCGACGGCGCAGGCAGCGUCCUGGCCGCUUGCUGACACUGAGGCACGAAAGCUGGGGGAGCAAACAGG